GUUGGAAGAAGAGGCCCGUGUUGCACGAGAGAAAGAGAAGAUCGUCAAAUUAAAGUGGGAUUACCUAUCGGAGUUAAAAAGUGAACUGGAACGAAUUCACUUCCAACACGUAACUUUGCACGACAGAAUUUCGAGUGUGGCAGUUUCUUGCAAAUGGCGAACUAAACUUAGAAGAAAGCAAACUUUAUUAAAAGCGAAAGCUGUUACAGUAAUGAACGACAUAAACGACCUGG